GUUUCCACAGAGCAGUUAGGCUUCUCCUUCACUGCACCCCCAACUGCUACUUUCCUACUUCCCUCAAAUUGUUCAUAAUUUUCACAAAAUAUUAUUAUUUUGUCCCACAAUUAUCCUUCACAAAGCCCAAUAAUCAAUUAAAGGGGCAGCUAACUGGGCUUUGUGAAGGCCCCAUUCACUGUCCCUCAGUGUGCUGCUGCAGGCAGAGCAGGGGGAUCUACUUUCUCCCUGCUUGCUCAGAGUGGUUCCCCUCACAUACAGAGGCAAAGCUCCAUGAGGC